UGUGGCAGUUUUACCAUUUAUUGGGUUAUGUCAGCCCAUGCUGGGUUAUUUAUCAUAACCCAGCCACAGGGUUGGUGGUUUAGAACUCAAUCUCCAACAGAUGUAGGGCAUUCUACCCACUAGCUGGGUCACUUAACUACUGGCAGCCCAAGUACUGGGUGAACUCAUUGAGCAGCCCAUCCCCCACCCCUGCCUGAAUGUGCAACUCCAGCCAGAUCUUCAACCGUCACUUUUUCUAUUAUGAAUCUGACUGCGAGCUGUGUGCUGUAGCCGUCAUCAUAUUCAAGGUGGUGUGAGGACUGCUGCCCUGAGACCGCUGUGUGCAUUUUGGAAUGUUCCAAAUGUGUGUUACGUCCAUACAGAAGAAAUUCCAAGCCUGCAAUGGGCUCUAUCAACUGUCCAGGGCAAAGUCGGUCUACCCUGAUGGCACUACCUGUUACCCUGACCUCAACGUAGUGGGUGUGGACUACAGG